CUUGGCCUACGGGGGGCAGCAGUGGGGAAUAUUGCACAAUGGGGGUACCCUGAUGCAGCGACGCCGCGUGAGUGAAGAAGUAUUUCGGGAUGUAAAGCUCUAUCAGCAGGGAAGAAAAUGACGGUACCUGACUAAGAAGCCCCGGCUAACUACGUGCCAGCAGCCGCGGUAAUACGUAGGGGGCAAGCGUUAUCCGGAUUUACUGGGUGUAAAGGGAGCGUAGACGGCAGAGCAGGUCUGAAGUGAAAGCGCGCGGCCCAACUGCGGGACUGCUUUGGAAACUGCCCGGCUCGAGUGCUGGAGGG
rnacentral:rRNA from 1 species